rnacentral:rRNA from 1 species
GAGAGUUUGAUCCUGGCUCAGGACGAACGCUGGCGGCGUGCUUAACACAUGCAAGUCGAGCGAUGAACCUCCUUCGGGAGGGGAUUAGUGGCGAACGGGUGAGUAACACGUGGGCAAUCUGCCCUGCACUCUGGGACAAGCCCUGGAAACGGGGUCUAAUACCGGAUACUGAUCAUCUUGGGCAUCCUUGGUGAUCGAAAGCUCCGGCGGUGCAGGAUGAGCCCGCGGCCUAUCAGCUUGUUGGUGAGGUAAUGGCUCACCAAGGCGACGACGGGUAGCCGGCCUGAGAGGGCGACCGGCCACACUGGGACUGAGACACGGCCCAGACUCCUACGGGAGGCAGCAGUGGGGAAUAUUGCACAAUGGGCGAAAGCCUGAUGCAGCGACGCCGCGUGAGGGAUGACGGCCUUCGGGUUGUAAACCUCUUUCAGCAGGGAAGAAGCGCAAGUGACGGUACCUGCAGAAGAAGCACCGGCCAACUACGUGCCAGCAGCCGCGGUAAUACGUAGGGUGCGAGCGUUGUCCGGAAUUAUUGGGCGUAAAGGGCUCGUAGGCGGUUAGUCACGUCGGGAGUGAAAACUCGGGGCUUAACCCCGAGCCUGCUUCCGAUACGGGCUGACUAGAGGUAUGCAGGGGAGAACGGAAUUCCUGGUGUAGCGGUGAAAUGCGCAGAUAUCAGGAGGAACACCGGUGGCGAAGGCGGUUCUCUGGGCAUUACCUGACGCUGAGGAGCGAAAGUGUGGGGAGCGAACAGGAUUAGAUACCCUGGUAGUCCACCCCGUAAACGUUGGGCGCUAGGUGUGGGACUCAUUCCACGAGUUCCGUGCCGCAGCUAACGCCUUAAGCGCCCCGCCCGGGGAGUACGGCCGCAGGCUAAAACUCAAGGAAUUGACGGGGGCCCCCCAAGCGGCGGACAUGCGGAUAAUUCGAUGCACCCGAAAACCUACCUGGUUUGACUUUGGAGAAUCUCCUAAGAUGGG